ensembl:lincRNA Gm12414 predicted gene 12414
GACUGACGCUAGGAAAUCACUAAUGUCCCACAUGGCACAAGGACUCUCCUCUUCUUGAAACAAGUCUCAACCUGUAACCUAAGAUGGUCUGAAACUUACUGUGUAGCUCAGAUUGGCCACAAGCCCACAGCAAUUCUUCUGCUCCAGCUACUCAAGCGCUAGAAUUAUAGGAAUGGAGUACCAUCCUGGCUCUCGUCCCCUUCUUUCUGAAGUUCUGGCUUGCUCUGAUAUCAACUUCAGGACUAGUUCUCUCUGACCUUCUGAUUUAAGAGCCAUAAGAUGCCUGGGUGUGCCUCAGCCCAUCUCUGUGUUCUGAUCCCAAAUUCUCAAGACAGAUCACUGGAUCCAUGUCUGUCAGGACAAUGAUAUCUGAUUGGUAGAUCGUUGGCUGUAGCUCAAGUGGGGGAGGUGGGGACAUAUGCUGGAGCAGACAUCAAUUUCCCAGGAGUGGAGAGAAGACAUAUUGAAGGAAAUCAGGAUCGUGCCAGCACAGG